rnacentral:tRNA from 1 species
GCAUUGGUGGUAUAGUGGUGAUCAUAGCUACCUUCCAAGCAGUUGACCCGGGUUCGAUUCCCGGCCAAUGCA